rnacentral:rRNA from 1 species
CCUACGGGAGGCAGCAGUGAGGAAUAUUGGUCAAUGGCCGAGAGGCUGAACCAGCCAAGUCGCGUGAGGGAAGACGGCCCUACGGGUUGUAAACCUCUUUUGUCUGGGAGCAAAGCGAGUCACGUGUACUUCAUUGAGAGUACCCGAAGAAAAAGCAUCGGCUAACUCCGUGCCAGCAGCCGCGGUAAUACGGAGGAUGCGAGCGUUAUCCGGAUUUAUUGGGUUUAAAGGGUGCGCAGGCGGAGGUGCAAGUCAGCGGUCAAAUUGCGGGGCUCAACCCCGUACUGCCGUUGAAACUGCAUCCCUUGAGUGCGGUAGAAGUAUGCGGAAUGCGUGGUGUAGCGGUGAAAUGCAUAGAUAUCACGCAGAACUCCGAUUGCGAAGGCAGCAUACCGGCGCGCAACUGACGCUCAUGCACGAAAGCGUGGGUAUCGAACAGGAUUAGAUACCCUUGUAGUC